CCAGGUGCACCGAAAACAGAGAUGUCACAUCCCGCACAGCCAAGUAGUAACUUCUCCUCAGGACCAGAGCUGGACUCCAGAAGAUACCAACUCAGCAACCAUUUCAUCCCUUUGCUACUCCUGGGCUUCUUGAAGACCUCCAUUUUCCUGUGCCUAGUCUGUGCUGCAAUCUGGGUGAGCGUACAGAACAAGAGAAACUCCAGGAAGCUGGUGCCAGAUGGACAUGCUCAUGACCUGCCUCAUUCUGAGGUUAGGAACGGGUCAGAACCAGCAGAGGUUAGCAGACCACAGCCCUGUGCAUCUACCCAGCCACCUAGUGAGUGCGAUUUUCCUCUCACACAAGUGAGAAUGUGGAACAGCUCCAGUGAAGUCUAUCGAGCUACACGGGUGUAAAUCCAGGGUCAGUGAGACAAGAAUGAGAACCAGAGUCUGCAUGGUGUGGGGGGGGGGGCAUUUCUGCCCUAAUUUUGAGGAGUCUAGUGCCCUAACUCUUGUUUGUACUAGUUGAGUAUAUUCUGAAUAUUUGGCAAAGGCACCUAGAACUCUGGAGAGGAUUUUUUGAUAUUCUCUGUACAUCUAAAUAGAUAAAAUAUUCAAAUCACCAAUACCUCCCAGUAACCAAAACUGCCAUCCCUCCUAGAGCUUCUAUAACAAACUGCCCAUUCGCUCUCUCCUUUCACUUCACCCUCUUGUUAUGAAGUGUGUAAGAGGCACAUGAGGUUAGCACCAGAAAAGCAUCAGAUAAGAAAAGAAGCAGAAGCACUGGAGUGCUAUUGAUGCUGCAGGAUGUGAGCAGUCACAUUAUGUCAUGUGCUAAA